UACGGAGGAGGCAAGCGUUAUCCGGAAUUAUUGGGCGUAAAGCGUCCGUAGGUGGUUAGCCAAGUCUGUUGUUAAAGCGUGAGGCUUAACCUCAUAAGGGCAGUGGAAACUGGUUAACUUGAGUGCGGUAGGGGUAGAGGGAAUUCCCAGUGUAGCGGUGAAAUGCGUAGAUAUUGGGAAGAACACCGGUGGCGAAGGCGCUCUACUGGGCCUGCACUGACACUGAGGGACGAAAGCUAGGGGAGCGAAAGGGAUUAGAUACCCCUGUAGUCCUAGCUGUAAACGAUGGAUACUAGGUGUUGCACGUAUCGACCCGUGCAGUGCCGUAGCUAACGCGUUAAGUAUCCCGCCUGGGGAGUACGCUCGCAAGAGUGAA
rnacentral:rRNA from 1 species